rnacentral:rRNA from 1 species
AGAGAGUGCGAGCGUUAAUCGGAAUUACUGGGCGUAAAGCGCGCGCAGGUGGAGUUUUAAGUCGGGAUGUGAAAUCCCCGGGCUUAACCUGGGAAUGGCAUUCGAUACUGGAACUCUAGAGUAUGGUAGAGGGAAGUGGAAUUUCCGGUGUAGCGGUGAAAUGCGUAGAUAUCGGAAGGAACACCAGUGGCGAAAGCGGCUUCCUGGACCAAUACUGACACUUAGGCGCGAAAGCGUGGGGAGCAAACAGGAUUAGAUACCCUGGUAGUCCACGCCGUCAACGAUGAGAACUAGAUGUUGGGGAGUUUACUCCUUAGUAUCGAAGCUAACGCGUUAAGUUCUCCGCCUGGGGAGUACGGCCGCAAAGGCUAA